UACGGAGGGGGCUAGCGUUGUUCGGAAUUACUGGGCGUAAAGCGCGCGUAGGCGGCUUUGUAAGUUAGAGGUGAAAGCCCGGAGCUCAACUCCGGAAUUGCCUUUAAGACUGCAUCGCUAGAAUCAUGGAGAGGUGAGUGGAAUUCCGAGUGUAGAGGUGAAAUUCGUAGAUAUUCGGAGGAACACCCAGUGGCGAAGGCGGCUCACUGGUCCAUUACUGACGCUGAGGUGCGAAAGCGUGGGGAGCAAACAGG
rnacentral:rRNA from 1 species